UGGGGAAUUUUGGACAAUGGGCGCAAGCCUGAUCCAGCCAUGCCGCGUGCGGGAAGAAGGCCUUCGGGUUGUAAACCGCUUUUGUCAGGGAAGAAAUCUUCUGAGUUAAUACCUCGGGAGGAUGACGGUACCUGAAGAAUAAGCACCGGCUAACUACGUGCCAGCAGCCGCGGUAAUACGUAGGGUGCAAGCGUUAAUCGGAAUUACUGGGCGUAAAGCGUGCGCAGGCGGUUUUGUAAGACAGAGGUGAAAUCCCCGGGCUCAACCUGGGAACUGCCUUUGUGACUGCAAGGCUUGAGUGCGGCAGAGGGGGAUGGAAUUCCGCGUGUAGCAGUGAAAUGCGUAGAUAUGCGGAGGAACACCGAUGGCGAAGGCAAUCCCCUGGGCCUGCACUGACGCUCAUGCACGAAAGCGUGGGGAGCAAACAGGAUUAGAUACCCUGGUAGUCCACGCCCUAAAACGAUGUCAACUGGUUGUUGGGAAGGUUCCUUCUCAGUAACGUAGCUAACGCGUGAAGUUGACCGCCUGGGGAGUACGGCCGCAAGGUUGAAACUUAAAUGAAUU
rnacentral:rRNA from 1 species